rnacentral:rRNA from 1 species
GUGGGGAAUCUUGCGCAAUGGGCGAAAGCCUGACGCAGCCAUGCCGCGUGAAUGAUGAAGGUCUUAGGAUUGUAAAAUUCUUUCACCGGGGACGAUAAUGACGGUACCCGGAGAAGAAGCUCCGGCUAACUUCGUGCCAGCAGCCGCGGUAAUACGAAGGGGGCUAGCGUUGCUCGGAAUUACUGGGCGUAAAGGGCGCGUAGGCGGACAGCUUAGUCAGAGGUGAAAGCCCAGGGCUCAACCUUGGAAUUGCCUUUGAUACUGGCUGUCUUGAGUACGGGAGAGGUGAGUGGAACUCCGAGUGUAGAGGUGAAAUUCGUAGAUAUUCGGAAGAACACCAGUGGCGAAGGCGACUCACUGGCCCGUUACUGACGCUGAGGCGCGAAAGCGUGGGGAGCAAACAGGAUUAGAAACCCCGGUAGUC